UUGAAACAUCGGUUCCCGUACGAUCACCGAAGUUAAGUAACUUCGAGCCUGGUUAGUACUAAGAUGGGUGACCGCUUGGAUGUGCGGGUAG